rnacentral:rRNA from 1 species
UACGUAGGGUGCAAGCGUUAAUCGGAAUUACUGGGCGUAAAGCGUGCGCAGGCGGCUAUGCAAGACAGAUGUGAAAUCCCCGGGCUCAACCUGGGAACUGCAUUUGUGACUGCAUGGCUAGAGUACGGUAGAGGGGGAUGGAAUUCCGCGUGUAGCAGUGAAAUGCGUAGAGAUGCGGAGGAACACCGAUGGCGAAGGCAGCCCCCUGGGCCAAUACUGACGCUCAGGCACGAAAGCGUGGGGAGCAAACAGG